rnacentral:rRNA from 1 species
CCUACGGGUGGCAGCAGUGAGGAAUAUUGGUCAAUGGACGAGAGCCUGAUCCAGCCAAGUAGCGUGAGGGAUGACUGCCCUAUGGGUUGUAAACUUCUUUUAUAAAGGAAUAAAGUGAGGCACGUGUGCCUUUUUGUAUGUACUUUAUGAAUAAGGAUCGGCUAACUCCGUGCCAGCAGCCGCGGUAAUACGGAGGAUCCGAGCGUUAUCCGGAUUUAUUGGGUGUAAAGGGAGCGUAGAUGGGUUUUUAAGUCAGUUGUGAAAGUCUGGGGCUCAACGGGAAAAUUGCAAUGGAGACUGGGAGCCUGGAGUACAGGUGAGGUAGGCGGAAUUCGUGGUGUAGCGGUGAAAUGCUUAGAUA